rnacentral:tRNA from 1 species
GCCGGGGUGGCGAAACUGGUAGACGCACAGGACUUAAAAUCCUGUUCUUCGCAAGGAGAGUGUCGGUUCGAUUCCGAUCCCCGGCA